AAGAGAUGAAUGGCCGACAGCACAGGGAGGGCCUAGAAUUUUAAUAUUUGAGAAAAUAAACCUAGAUCAAAUAUCUUGUUUCUCUUUUUAGCAAGAAACCUGCCCUCCAUGAUACAGUCUUUCUGAUUUUCAUUUCCCCCAGAUAUCUUAUCUCUGAGAGAAUGAACAAAUAUAAUCACCCUUCAUAAGUAAUGACCCACAUCUUUUUCAGAUGGGAUGUGAAGAUAUACCUCCCCUUAUAUAUCCCUCUGAUUUUGUAUCCUUCAAGUACUAUUUCCUCAUAACUUACAAUUCAUAAAUCCACCUGUUUUUAUGUAGGCACCUACUGUGCAGAGCUUGAGGAAGGCACAGCACUA
rnacentral:lncRNA from 1 species